AAUCAACGCUGGCGGCAUGCCUAACACAUGCAAGUCGAGCGAGAAAGUGUAGCAAUACAUGAGUACAGCGGCGCACGGGUGAGUAACACGUGGAUAACCUGCCUCAGAGUGGGGAAUAACACCGGGAAACCGGUGCUAAUACCGCAUAUUCUGAUGGAACCUGCGGGUUUUGUCAGGAAAGGAGCAAUUCGCUCUGAGAGGGGUCCGCGGCUGAUUAGCUAGUUGGUGAGGUAAUGGCUCACCAAGGCAACGAUCAGUAGCCGGUCUGAGAGGACGGUCGGCCACACUGGAACUGAGACACGGUCCAGACUCCUACGGGAGGCAGCAGUGGGGAAUUUUUCGCAAUGGGGGAAACCCUGACGAAGCAAUGCCGCGUGGAUGAUGAUGUAUUUCGGUACGUAAAAUCCUUUCGACGGGGACGAAACCGCAAGGUUGACGGUACCCGUAGAAGAAGCCCCGGCUAACUCCGUGC
rnacentral:rRNA from 1 species